GGGGCAGUGGCAGGCUAGUGUUAUUGUUAGCUACAUUAGCCUAUUUAGCAAACCAGCUCAAAAAACAAACCUUUACAUUGUAUUGCAGCACAGCAACACCAUGCAAUGCAUAAAUUGGUGACCGGACUAAAGCAGCAAUGUAAACAAGUGUGUAAGAGCAUUUAAAAUUGACAUUAAAAUGACCAACGUAGUACAAAUACAAAGAAAAUACAUCUCAAUAUGGGCGCAGCCAUCUUUGUUUUGUGAGUCGUACAUUUAACCUCGUUCAGCUCGGUGUAGUCUGAGGAGCCCCGAGUGGGACAGACGAUAUUACGUCCAAAAGGGGGUGUCUCGGAGAAAUGUCGCGAGAUAGCAGUGACAUUUACACUUUCCAACUCGGCAGGGGAUUUACGAGACAAAUGGAUCGCACCAUUCGUAGUGGGUACGGCCAUGCUCUCCAGAGGUGGCGGUACUCAAUAAGAAGAAGUAAGGAUACUCAUGUGGACGAAAAUCAAGUUUCAGUGCCAGUUUAUUCAUCGCUCUGGGUGGCCUGGACCACGCUGCCAGCUCCUGAUGCUCCAUGGCUCAGCUAGAGAGAGGACACCACAUAAUUCUCAGUCACACUAAUAUGUACACCUACAUCAGUGCUUUUUACAGUUCAGAAUGCAAUACAAGAUGAUUGAAACUGUUUGUGAUGUUAGUAUUUUGUUCUGUUAAUAGUCACAGCCUCUUUACCUUUAUGUCAGAUCAUUGGCAUUUUGUCUUGAGCUGGUGGUGUUUACAGCCGGCUCCAGCCCAGUAGCCCAUCCCUAGGAAUUAUAUCUAUGUUAUCCCCUUUUAUGUCCAAUGAUAACUUUUAGUACCAAUGCUGUAAGAGGUGUUCUCUAUAUGUAGCGAGGUAGAAAAGAAAGGCGUGGAGAACAGUGACGUGUCAUGCAGUGGUUUGCAAACUGAGCCCCAGGGACUAACAGGGUUCCUUCAGUGGGUUGUAGGGGGUCGCCAGCAAAAGGAGGAAUAGAAUUUCAAGUGGGUAGAGCUGGCGACCCCUGUACCGACGCUGAGUCCUUGCUGCAGUGGCCAAAGGUUCAAAUCCGACCUGCGGCCCUUUGCUGCAUGUCAUCCCCCCUGUCUCUCUCUGCCCCCCUUUCCUGUCUAUCUUCAGCUGUCCUAUCAAAUAAAGCCAAUAAAAGCCAAAAAAACCCAAAAACAAAUUGGGGUUCUUGAAGGUUCCUCACAUGCAGUGUAGCACAACACCACUGAUUGCCAUCAGUGAGUGAAUGUGUGUGAAAGGGUGAAUGUGGCACGUAGUGUAAAAGAACUUUGAGUGGUCGGAAGACUAAAAAGGCGCUAUACAAGUACAGGUCCAUUUACCAUUACCACACUGAUCAGCCAUAUCAUUCUGAGCACCUGGGCACCCUGGUGGUCAGAAUGUUCUGCAGCCCCAACAAACUACGAUGCACUGUGUGUUCUGAACAAGUGUGUUGGCCACUGCCAUGACAGUUAAUGGAGCCAGAGCG
rnacentral:lncRNA from 15 species